AGUGAACGCUGGCGGUAGGCCUAACACAUGCAAGUCGAACGGCAGCACAGUAAGAGCUUGCUCUUACGGGUGGCGAGUGGCGGACGGGUGAGGAAUACAUCGGAAUCUACUUUUUCGUGGGGGAUAACGUAGGGAAACUUACGCUAAUACCGCAUACGACCUACGGGUGAAAGCAGGGGAUCUUCGGACCUUGCGCGAUUGAAUGAGCCGAUGUCGGAUUAGCUAGUUGGCGGGGUAAAGGCCCACCAAGGCGACGAUCCGUAGCUGGUCUGAGUGGAUGGUCGGCCACACUGGAACUGAGACACGGUCCAGACUCCUACGGGAGGCAGCAGUGGGGAAUAUUGGACAAUGGGCGCAAGCCUGAUCCAGCCAUACCGCGUGGGUGAAGAAGGCCUUCGGGUUGUAAAGCCCUUUUGUUGGGAAAGAAAAGCAGCAGGUUAAUACCCCGCUGUUCUGACGGUACCCAAAGAAUAAGCACCGGCUAACUUCGUG
rnacentral:rRNA from 1 species